rnacentral:rRNA from 1 species
CCUACGGGGGACAGCAGUGGGGGAUAUUGCACAAUGGGGGGAACCCUGAUGCAGCGACGCCGCGUGGGUGAAGAAGCGCCUCGGCGCGUAAAGCCCUGUCAGCAGGGAAGAAAAUGACGGUACCUGAAGAAGAAGCCCCGGCUAACUACGUGCCAGCAGCCGCGGGAAUACGUAGGGGGCAAGCGUUAUCCGGAUUUACUGGGUGUAAAGGGGGCGCAGACGGCGAUGCAAGCCAGGAGUGAAAGCCCGGGGCCCAACCCCGGGACUGCUGUUGGAACUGCGUGGCUGGAGUGCAGGAGGGGCAGGCGGAAUUCCUGGGGUAGCGGGGAAAUGCGUAGAUAUCAGGAGGAACACCGGUGGCGAAGGCGGCCUGCUGGACUGCAACUGACGUUGAGGCCCGAAAGCGUGGGGAGCAAACAGGAUUAGAUACCCGGGUAGUC